rnacentral:rRNA from 1 species
GUCUAUGGCCAUGACACCUUAAACAAGCCUGAUCCCAUCUGAUCUCGGAAGCUAAGCAGGGUCAGGGCUGGCUAGUACUUGGAUGGGAGACCACCAGGAAGACCAGGUGCUGUAGGUA